GUGUGAUCAUGACUUUUAUUGAAUUAAAAACAUUUUAGACUUUAGUAUUAGUAAAGAUACACAUAAAUUAAACCAUAUGAUUAAACAUUGCUGGCCCGGUUGUUUAAAAUGUUAAAUAUAACAGUUUGUUUAAUACACACAAUAUACAACAAUAUACAAUACUAAUAACUUAACAGAUCAAUCAGUUUUAUACCCCAUACCCAAGUUUUAAAAAUUUGGGUACUUAUAUAUUCGGGGUGGUUUAUAGUCGGAGGUUUACGGUAUGUGAAGUGUUUUUGUGGAACACUUCAUAGCGCAGAAUGUCCAAAAUCAAAAAAUGAUGGUAACCUAGCCUGCAUGGCAGGCGGUACGUAGGAAAUACCGCCUGCCGCAAAACUGGAUGUAAAUGAACUACCGCCCCUGAAGCAUCAACGCUAUUUAUAGAUGCAUUAAUUAAGUAAAUAUUCAAAAUUAGCCACUCCCAAGCUGCUCCCAAGUCCCAACUGCCCAACAUAAAAUAAAUUCCUUGAUUCUCAUCACUGCCCGACUGAAUUUUAAAAUCCUCGUGAAAACGUUUUAUUUUUCGUUAUACAAUAUAAAUGUACCGCCCGACAAAAUAAUUCAAGACAGUUAAUUUUUUUAUAUUUUAUAUAGGGUUUUUAGUGCCAAUUUAAACUUCCAAUUUCAAACAAACAGAAUUUUGAAUGAAAUUUCAUUGUAUUUUAAAGAAACUCAGUCAUUCUGUCAUUGUUUGUGGAGAUACGAACUAUUAAUAUAUAAAUUAUAUAAAUAUAAAAUAUAAAAAAUAAAUCUCCCACUGUCUUCGACAUUUCAAAGUGUAGACUGUGUCUAGUGAUGAGAAUCAAGGAAUUUAUUUUAUGUGUUAAUAUAAACCAAGCCCGUUUAGCCGUUUAGCUGCCUUAAAGCGGUGGUUUAAUAAGCUCAAAAUACAAAGCAUGCAAGUCUAUACUAUAGAUUCAUCAUCAGUCAACAACCAAACUGAAAGUAUUGAACCCUUAUAGAACGAUAGUUUUUAUUUGUUUACAACUAUACAUAUUCAACGGGUAUAUAAGAGUUUAAGUGUUAUUUGAUAAUUACUGCAUCAACCGGCCCCUUGUUUAUACUUUGGAGGUUCGUAUAUAUUAAUAUCUAUCAAGUAUCUUUGGUUCAGAACAUGACUGAUAGGCCUUAUAUGGAAAUCCCACUGUUCGAUUCAGUGAAGAAAUAUCUCCUAAUUUCUAUCGAUAGUUUUAGUAAAAUGUCAACAUUAUUGCGAUUUAUGGCCUUUGAAAGUCAAGCGAGAUAGUAUAUUAUCAAAUUAAUACGCAUGUAAUUGUCUGAACGAAAAUAUAGACUAGCCCAUACCUUUCUCCGAUCAUAACUUCGG